rnacentral:rRNA from 1 species
CAGUCGCCGCGGUAAAACGUAGGGCGCAAGCGUUAUCCGGAAUUAUUGGGCGUAAAGAGCUCGUAGGCGGUUUGUCGCGUCUGCCGUGAAAGUCCGGGGCUCAACCCCGGAUCUGCGGUGGGUACGGGCAGACUAGAGUGAUGUAGGGGAGACUGGAAUUCCUGGUGUAGCGGUGAAAUGCGCAGAUAUCAGGAGGAACACCGAUGGCGAAGGCAGGUCUCUGGGCAUUAACUGACGCUGAGGAGCGAAAGCAUGGGGAGCGAACAGGAUUAGAGACCCCUGUAGUCCCUGUCUCUUAUAC